rnacentral:rRNA from 1 species
CGCACGGGUGAGUAACACGUGAGUGACCUGCCUUUUAGACUGGAACAACUUACCGAAAGGUGAGCUAAUGCCGGAUGAGUUAUAUAAGUGCAUGUUUAUAUAGGAAAAGUUGGGGAGACCUGACGCUGAAAGAUGGACUCGCGUCCCAUUAGCUAGUUGGUAGGGUAAUGGCCUACCAAGGCGACGAUGGGUAGCCGGCCUGAGAGGGGGGCCGGCCACACUGGGACUGAGACACGGCCCAGACUCCUACGGGAGGCAGCAG